CAUCAUUCAAUCAUCUUGGUAAUUUUUCCUCCAUUUCUAAAAUUCUACGCAAUGGUGUGGCUUAAAUUCACCAACGCGCUGUUUUUGAUUGUUCGAUUCGACGGUUUUGGGCCUUGAUUUCCACAGAAGAACAGGGCUUUCAAUUGCUUCAGCAACAGCAGAAGUUUGUGAUACAAAUGCAGGACAUAACAAGCGGAGAUCUCCAAGUACUGCAAGCGUCAUUCGACAUUUACGGGCAGCAGCGAGCAUUUUCGGGACGGAUAGUGUGACGGUGAAGGUGUUUUCAGACAAUGUUUUGGUGAGAGAGGUUCUUAAGGGUUGGUGGGGGUCUGAUUCAUGAAGGAGAAUGGUUGUAUUGGUGAUGGUGAUAUGCCAUUUUAGUGUCCAAAUUUGAGCUGUCUGUAUGAAUAGAUAGCCUGAUUGAGUAUCAUACACAAACCCUCUCUAUUGGCUCUCUAUUGCUUCUUCUUUACGAGUUCUUGGCUCUCUGGUUGUUGACUUCCUUCCAUCUGUACAGAUUCAGUUAUGUAUUUGUGAUUCUAAAUAAAAGGGACUUUCGUCUCUGUUCGACC